AAUAUCUGCAGUCGAGCGACUGAUUAGAAGCUUGCUUCUAUGACGUUAGCGGCGGACGGGUGAGUAACACGUGGGCAACCUGCCUGUAAGACUGGGAUAACUCCGGGAAACCGGAGCUAAUACCGGAUAACAUUUUCUCUUGCAUAAGAGAAAAAAAGAUGGUUUCGGCUAUCACUUACAGAUGGGGCGGUGCAUUAGCUAGUUGGUGAGGUAACGGCUCACCAAGGCAACGAUGCAUAGCCGACCUGAGAGGGUGAUCGGCCACACUGGGACUGAGACACGGCCCACACUCCUACGGGGGGCAGCAGUGGGGAUUCC
rnacentral:rRNA from 1 species